AGGUCUAGAAGUGGUACAAUUUAAGGCCAACUUGGGUACUUCAGUGAAUCUCCGAAAAUGGAAGCGGUUUUGACUUCUUCAGUAGCCUGACUCAGCACUGAUAAUGCUUCAAGAAAUCUGAGCUGAUGAAAAAGGAAGAGCUAAACUGGAAAAAAACCAUCAAACUGAGCACCCAGUUGGAUCAAACACAAGAAGUGGCAUUACCAAGAACCCUUGUUGAUCAGGGAAUGCAGCAAGACACCUUGUCUGGAAUUUCAGAGGUGAGUCGAUCCUCUUGAAUUCAGCCUAUUACAGGGUAACAAGAAUGUCAAAUGUGCAAGUAAGAAUGUAAGAUUUAGAGUGUCUGUGGAAUAUAUGUACACUAUUGCAGUGACGAGCACAUGAAAAUUCAAUUGGCCCACAGCAAAUGAUUGCUUGUUUACUCA